GCCCGGUUAGCUCAAUCGGUAGAGCGUGAGACUCUUAAUCUCAAGGUUGCGGGUGAGUAAUUGAAAAUACCUAAAUGAACGAGGAAAAAAAAACUAACCCUAACAGGUUCGACCCCCGCAUCGGGCU